rnacentral:rRNA from 1 species
UGCCUCAGUAACGGCGAGUGAAGCGGCAACAGCUCAAAUUUGAAAUCUGGCCUCUUUGGGGUCCGAGUUGUAAUUUGUAGAGGAUGUUUCGGGUACCGCCUCGGUUUAAAUUUCUUGGAACAGAAUGUCAGAGAGGGUGAGAAUCCCGUCUUGGACCGCGGUAGGGCCCAUGUGAAACUCCUUCGACGAGUCGAGUUGUUUGGGAAUGCAGCUCAAAAUGGGUGGUAAAUUUCAUCUAAAGCUAAAUAUUGGCCAGAGACCGAUAGCGCACAAGUAGAGUGAUCGAAAGAUGAAAAGCACUUUGAAAAGAGAGUUAAACAGUAUGUGAAAUUGUUGAAAGGGAAGCGCUUACAACCAGACUUGAGCGCGGCGGUUCCCCCUUCCUUUUGGUUGGGUUACUCCGUCGUGUCCAGGCCAACAUCGGUUCUGGGGGUCGGUCAAAGGCUCUGGGAAUGUAUCUACCCUUCGGGCGUAGACUUAUAGCCCAGAGUGUCAUGCGGCCUCCCGGGACCGAGGAACGCGCUUCGGCUCGGAUGUUGGCGUAAUGGUUGUCAGCGACCCGUCUUGAAACACGGACCAAGGAGUCUAACAUCUAUGCGAGUGUUUGGGUGUCAAACCCGGAACGCGGAAUGAAAGUGAACGGAGGUAGGAAGCUUCGGCUGCACUAUCGACCGAUCCUGAUGUCUUCGGAUGGAUUUGAGUAAGAGCAUAGCUGUUGGGACCCGAAAGAUGGUGAACUAUGCCUGAAUAGGGUGAAGCCAGAGGAAACUCUGGUGGAGGCUCGCAGCGGUUCUGACGUGCAAAUCGAUCGUCAAAUUUAGGUAUAGGGGCGAAAGACU